rnacentral:lncRNA from 1 species
UUGUGCUCUAAAGCUAGUGGCUGAACAUAGCAGGGGCUGUAAGUCAGCCCCACCCAUCCAAAGCAGCAGGUCACAUCAGGGCCCUUUGUGACCCAUCCCUGUUCCACCCAGGUAUAACAAACACUAUGACACAGUGGCCCCACGGUGUCUAUCAGGACAGUGAAGGGAGAGGGCAGAAGCAUGUGGGUCUGGCAAGGAGGGCGACCCAAGACACUUUCUACUGCAGCUUUUCCUGGCACCCCUCAUCCCAGAGGAUGGAGGAGAGAUUCCCCAGCUGCCCCAAGGUUGUCUGGGUGGAAAGCGCGGCUCCCUAGAGUCCUACGAGGUGUGCAAAGUGAAGGUGCUGUGACUCGACAGGGAAUGGAAGGAAGAGUUUCCAAAAUGAUCUGCUGGGCUGAUGUAACACCAUCUUGAUGAGAUACUGGGGAGCCGCGAUGCAGCUGAACAAACCUUCACCUCAGACAGCCUAAUGUAUUGACUUCAUACAGGAGAACAGGCUAUAAAAAUUGCAACCCUGUGUUGCUUCAACAGUGCUCAAGUGGUGAAGAUGGGUAUCAGCCUAGCAAUAUAAAGGACUCCAAAUCUGCUUAGUGGCAUCUGAUGGCAUAUUUAGUGUUAGUGCUCAGAUGGACUUCACUACAAUGUUUUUUGAACACAUCUGCUAGUCUGUGAGCUUUCUUUAUUAAUGAAUCGCAAAGAGGCUCUGGGAGUGAACGUAUAGUUAUAAGUGAUUGGUCUGCAAAUAUUUUUUUUUUCUCUUUGGCUUUUAAAUUACCUGCUUAGUAUUUUAGGGAUUGCAAGUUAGUGGGAGUGAUAUGCCUGAAGGCCAUCUGAGCGUCUGGAAAUCUCCUUCAUAAAGCAGUUCUCUGGUCAAGCUUUCAGGUGUGUUUUAUAUGGGAGAGUUCUGUUGAUGCCUAUUCAGAGGCUGUCAUAUGCUUUAUGACUAUAUAUUGGUGCCUGAUAUGAAGAUGGAAUCCAAAGAAUUUGCAAAACAUGGCACCUUGCUGUGUCUUUAAAGAGCUCAUGAAUCUUCAGCACUGAUGUUCUGACCUGUCUUGUACCCUUUAAAUAAAGUUUUCUAAACAGUUCUUAUGCA